rnacentral:rRNA from 1 species
UACGUAGGGUGCGAGCGUUGUCCGGAAUUAUUGGGCGUAAAGAGCUCGUAGGCGGUUUGUCACGUCUGCUGUGAAAUCCCGAGGCUCAACCUCGGGCCUGCAGUGGGUACGGGCAGACUGGAGUGCGGUAGGGGAGAAUGGAAUUCCUGGUGUAGCGGUGGAAUGCGCAGAUAUCAGGAGGAACACCGAUGGCGAAGGCAGUUCUCUGGCCCGAUACUGACGCUGAGGUGCGAAAGCGUGGGGAGCAAACAGG